GUGACAGAGCGAGACCCUGUUUCAAAAAGAAAAAGAAAAAAAUAUAGGGAACAAGUGAAUGAGCAGCGAGGGGACUUGCAAGGUAAUAUCUGGCACAUGGAGGUGCUCUAUCCCUAGGAAGCUGGCUGUCUUUUCUCUCCCAGAACAUCGAGUCCCUCUCAGUGUCACCAGACCUCAAAGUCCCCCGGCUAGCCUGGUGCUCUUAGGGACACUACUGGGAUAUCACAAGUUAGACAUCAGGGCUGCAAGGUGGGAUUCCCUCAGGGGAGGCAUGAACUGUGGAGAGGAUCAAAGGGAGCUGGGGCCUUGGAUUCACUGGCAGGACUGCCAGUAGGGCCCACAGGCCUCAAUUCCUGGCGGAACCCCCAGGAAACAUUCUGAUGUGCAGAUAGACAUGCUCCAACUUCAUGCAGGCGGCCUCCUCGCUCCCUCCCUCCCUCCUCGUCUUCCAUGUUCCUUGAAAUCACAGUUGAGGGUUGGUGAAUGUUUAAUUGAACUCAAGAGAUAGCAGGGUCCUGCUUGAGUUUGUUUCCUUGUGUAUACCAUGACCAUUGGAGUAAGCUGGAGUCUGCCUUACCAAGUUGUCCAAAGACCCGAUGGCAUGGUGUUAGUGCACUUUGGCGGAAGAACGUGCUCGUUUGGAGCGAGACAUUCUUGGGAGGAGAUCAGUUCCCUGAACCUUAGUCUCCUCCUGUGUGAAAUGGGGGUGAUAUUAUACAAAUACGUCUCUGGCUGCAUUGCUGGGAGCCGUAAAUGUGAUUGCUAAUGCUGAAAGUGGAACCCGCGCCUGGCACAUAGUAAGCGCUCGGCACUUGGCGGCUCUGGAGUGCUUAGAAGACAGAAGCCAGAUCGCUAUCCUGGACAGGGGGUGAUAUAUGGUAUCGAGCUCUGACUGAGAAUUGAAUUCAACCUCAGCCGGAGAAUUAGAACAUUGUGAUUAGAAACAAGAAGAGGGAAGGGACAAAACAACCUGUCUUCAAGUGCAUGAUGACAGAGCACAGACUUUCCUGGCAGCCCGAGGGGCUGGGGAAGGACAGGGCAGAUCAUAUUAAUAACAAUAAAUUAUAUCUGCACUAUGAUUUAUGGGUCCUGAUGUGCUUCUCAUUAUGCUAUCUUACAGUACCGUAGGAAGGGCUUAUUAUCCUUACUGCUGUGUGUUGCAGUGGUUUUAGUGUAAUUGUUGCUGUUAGUGACCGUAGUGUUAUCCAUGCUAUUAUUGAUGUUAUUUCUCCUUGUUUCCAAAUUGGGGAAACUGAGGCUCGGAGAGAGCUAGCGACUUAACCAAGGAAAAGGUUGGUGCUAGGAUUCAAAUCUAGGUUUUUUUUAGUCCUGGAGUUUUAUUCUGGCUGCAUUCUACGCUCUUACAAUCCCCUUUCCACCCUGCCAUUUUGCAACCUCUUUGGUCUGGGGAGUCUUGGUCCCUGUUUCCCACAAUGGACAGUUUUCUCUCCUUGUUAGCCAGGGGUGAUGGGGCUCAAGGGUCCUUUCUGUCUAACCACGAGGGCUUCCCUCUGCCUAUAACCAACCAGCACUCCAUCCCCAGGCCUAUUCCUCCCUCAUGGGAGCUCCAAGUUCAGUAAGAAUCCCUGCAGGCAGCUACCCAUUGCAAGGCAGGCAGGGGUGACACAGAUUUGAACUUGAACUUUCAAGUCUUCCCCUUGGCUGGCCUCACUUUUGUCUUUGAACUCAGCAGCAGCCUGGCUGGUGGUUUACCCCACUUGUUCUCCUUCACUGCCUUCUCCUUUCCUUCUCUUCUCCCAAAGCCUGCUCAGGACUGAGUUGGUUAGGGACCAGGUUCAUUUAGCAUUUGCAGGAUGAGCUAUUUCAAGAAUGUGCAGAUUCAGUCUUGGAAAUGGCAGAGGAGAAGCCUGGCUUGGCUUCUGAGCAGGAGAACAAAUGAACCCCUGACCCCCCGCCCUUUCCCCAUCCUGCGAUUUCCUUUGUCUCAAUCCAAAAUCCCCCUUUACAUGAUCCUGGAGGCUUCCUAAUAAAAUAGAACUGUAACUUUAUCUAAGACGAGUGCAGCACAUGUAGAAUGGAUAAGGUGUAAUUAAUAACAGAAAAUAAUGCUUCCCCCUCCUGACCUUUCACCCUCAUAUAAGUGUCUUAAGUUUUAUGACAGCUAAGCACAAAAUUAGUGUGUGCAUGCAUGCGUGCAUGUGUGUGUGUGUGCGUGUACUUCAGUGUGUGCGUUUGAGCUGAACCUAUGUGGGGCCAAUACGUCUGUCUAGUGAGCAUUCACCUCACCCUGGCUGGAACUGGUUUACGUUUCUGGGUAGACUGGCCUCUCGCUGAACCCGGGAAUUGCCUGAAACUGAUCUGAUUUCUUGAAGUGAGGAUUCUGUCUGCAUCACAAAAUACCCCAUGUCUACUUGUAUGCAAAUGUUUGGACAAUGCAGAAAGCAUGUAUAUAUAAAAAUACAAGGAUGGCACGUGAGCAUGAGCAUGCACACACACGCACACACACACUCACAUACUCACACUCACACACACACUAUCCUUUGGGUUGUCUGUGAUAUUUUAGAACCCCAGGGGAUGCUGGGGCAGGGCUAUUGAUACUUAUUUGUGUACCUAACAGUGGGCAGGAAAGCAAGAUGAGCAGUUCAUUGGUUUUGAUGCCGGAAAUUCUUUGGACAUACAAAGAUCUCACGAUGGAAAAUACUCUCUUCAGCAAUUGCAGUGCUCCUAAUCCCCAGCAUGGCAUCUUCCUUGCUAUUUAUCUAGGGGCCAGCGAAAGACACGCGCUCGACUUAGCAAGAUAGGGGCUAGACAAACCACGGUGAGGAAAACGGCACCUACAAGUCUUCCCAGACAGCUGUCUGCAGUUGAAAUUGAAAGCUGAUGGCUGCAGAAGACUGUGAGUUCCUAAGGGAUGGCAGACCCACGCAUUGUCCACCAAAUACUUCUCAUUUUUCCUCCUCCUGGGCACCUGGUGGGAUUGCAUUCACAGUUCCUCAAAGUGACCAAGUGAUUUGCAUUGAGCAUUGAAAGGUGAGUGGGUGUAAGAUGUGUCACUUCUGGAUGGAAGCUUUAGGAGCUGGUAUGUAUGGUGACACUCACUAUUCUCUUUUGCUGUAGCUAGAUACAGUGUUUCCAUGGUGAUUUCUUACUCCAUCUCAGCCUGGGUCCCUAGACAUGGACUAGGCCAAGGAGAGUUCCCAGCUGAAUCAAAAAAAAAAAAAGCAGAGAAAGCAAGAAAUAAACCUUUAUUGCUUCAAUUCACAGUUGGUUUGGGAUUGUUUGUUACUACAUCAUAACCCAGCCCGUCCUGACUGACAUAAUAACCAACUCUUCUUGGGUAAAUAGCCUCUUGCUGGUCUUCACUAUAGAACACACCAGAAUUGCUCAUAUGAAAAGCAGUGAGCUUCUAAUUGAUUAGAGAAUUCACAACUGUUUUCUGUGAUUGUGAGUUUGUAUUGUUCCUGAUAUCUUAACAAGUGUGGUAUGUUGCAUAGCCUUUCAGUGUGUAUUGGUUUAUUACUCUAAGGAAUGACUG
rnacentral:lncRNA from 1 species